UUGGAUUAAUCGUAAUUUUUAUUUGAUCUAUACGAACGAAGCCGUUGAGAUACACAAAUGAGACAACGGCAACCGAUGACGGUGAAAUGGUGUCGAUUGUUUUCUCAUCGAGUUGGCCAGAAACUGACGAAA